rnacentral:lncRNA from 1 species
UCCAUACCUCUCCAUUUCCCACCAAAAGGGGAAUACAAUAUCCCUUUAUUUCUCAUUUUUUCUCUCUUCUAAUAAUUGUCCAAACAAAAAUUUUUUUAAAAAGAAUUUCCUUUCCUUUCUGUUAUUUUCUCCCCCACUCUCUUCCCUCGAUCCAAUCAAAGCAUAAAUGAACUCAUCUUAACCAUAACGAGCUGAGAUAAAUUUUUUUCCCAUUCCUCGUCGUGGAAGCAGAAACCCUUGGGCUCUUUCCACAUUUCUCCCUUUAUUAAUCCAACUAUUGCCACUCCUUUUGCUUCCUCUGGAUAAUUUGAUGAGGAGAUCGAAGCAUGCAGGCAUCGAAAUGAGAAAAUCGAGAGCUCCACGCAACAGCAAAUGGUGGAGCUAGAGGAUGAACAUGUUCAUUGAUGCCCAAUUGAAGCUCGAAAAGGAGUCUUUAAAGUGUUGGAAAUACGCUUCAUGUUCAGGUGAACUCAAUUCCUAUAGUUAUGCUUUUAGCUGCUUUUUUUUUUUUUUUUUUUUUGAUAUUGAAUUCGGUUGAAUUGCAACUGAAUUUGUUCUUCAUAAUGUUUGGAUCGCAUUUUGAGUUCAAUUUUAUAGGAAAUAGUGCUAUCUUGUAGUCUUGAUGGGUAUGCAGAAAACAAUAUGGAUUUUGCUUUUGUCCAUUUUUUUUUGCAGUGUAAUUGUUUAUCUUGUGCAUCUGAUCUUGAGUUUUUUAGAGUAGUUUUGUUGAGUUUUGGACAGGAUUUAGAUGGUUUUUGUUGCUCCUGAAAGGUUUUUGCCAUGAAACUGGUUUGUCCAAGUGCAUUGAACCUGUAGCAGGGGUGAAAGUCUAAGUGCUAAUUUAGCCCUCAUCGGCAUAACAGUGGUUUGAACAGUGGGUAGCUAUUUAAGUAGGUUAAUUGUUUUAAUAGCGGUUAGUAUUUAGAUAUUAGCCGUUAAUAGUUGGUAAUUGAUAUGGUUAUUCAAAGUAAAAUUGUUCAGUAUAAAAUAAAUAUACAAUUAAUUAUUAAAUACAAAAUAAUAAGAAAAUAUUGGAAUAAACAUUAUUCAAAUACUAAUAUGAAUCAUAAAUUAAGAUAAAUUAAUAUCUUUUUAAUAAAUCAAUAAUAAAAGAUAUAAAUUAUUCUUAAAUUAAUAAAUUAAUGGUAUUUUUUAACACAUCACAAAUAAUUAAUAAUAUUAUUAUGAAUAUAACAAAUAUACAAUACGGUAUAAAAAAUAGUGAAAAGUAACAAUAAGAAGAUGUUGUAUAUUAGAAAUUAAAUCUAUAAAUUUGUUAAAAAUAUAAAGAAAUAAGUUAAAGAAAUACAAUUAGUGUCUACCAAACACUAAAUAUUAGGGAGAUGGAUUUUUUUAAUAUCCAUUAAUUUAAUAAUUAAAUAUUAUUAUAAAAAAAAAUAAAAAUAGUUAUGAAAUGAUAAAUGAUAAAAUUUAGACUUUAUUUGAUUGAGAGUAAUUCAAUUAGGGAAUUUCAAAUUUUCUAUAAAUAUAAAAAUUGUUUCUGUUUGGUUGAUAUUUUUCUUCAAGAAUCAGAAAUAACUUACUUAUCUCAAUUUAAUUAAAUUACUCCUGAAAAAUUAAAAAUAACACGAUUAAACCAAACAAGGUAUUAGUGUUUUGGUUACUUUCAAAAAAAGAUUUUAGUGUUUUGACUUAACUUAAAUGUUAUAUAUUAUUAGUUAUAUAUUAUUAGAGUCUCGGCAACCAAACACAGAUUAAUAAUAAAAUUUAAAUUGAUUUAAUUUAUUCAUCAUUCUUAUUAUUUUUAAACUAACCAUAAAUAUUUAUUCUUAUAAAUAAGAAUCAUUACCACAUUCAAUAUUUUUCUGUUAAUAUUUUUAUAAUAUUUAAAAUAUGAAUUUUAUAUAAUUUUUCAUUUUUAAAAAUAUGAUUUUUUUAAAAAAAAUUAAAAAAUUAUAUAAUAAACUUUUAAUAUUAAUUAUAAAUGUAUUAAGUAUUAAUAGUCACUAUUAAAUUAAAAGAGCAAUUAUUAAUUAAAAAUAAGAAAUAAAUUUAAAAUUAAAACAAACAAAAAAAAAUUAAGGGCUAAUCAAGUAAUUUUGAUAUAAAUAACUUUAAGUGAAAUCAUCUCUUGCAAAAUUCUAACAAUUUUGUCAAAAUUUACUUUUAAUUCAAAAUUAAUUCUCACAAGAAUUUAAAAAAAUAAAAUUCUUAUAUUAUUGAUUUUGUCCAAUAUAAAAAUUUAAAAAAUAAAUUUAUUUUUUUUGAAUUUUUUUCAAAAUUUGACAUUCCAAAUAAUGGUUAUAUUAUUAACAGGUAAACUGUUUCACCUAUCAUUUUCAUGGAAUUAAAACAGAGCAAAUAACCUAAUUUCUAAAAUCAAGGGAUUAAGUCAUAAUUUUAGUAAAAAAUAGGAACUAAAUAGUAAAUGUUUUUUAAAGAAAACAUUAUAUUCACAGAAAUACAUUAUAAGUAUGGAUUUGUUUAAAAAAUUAAAAAUCUCCAUAUGUAUACUUUCCUUAACUUGAAUCUAUUAUUUUUGGACAAAAAAACUAUUAUCUAUUCCUAGUUAUAAUCAAAUCCAAUGUUUAUGGAUAAUGAUUUCUUUCAUGAAGUCCAACUUACACAUAAAAUUCUAAAUCAAUUCUUUGGAGAAAAUGGUGAUGUGCUUUGUCAGAGUUUGGCAUAAACUAAAAAUUUUAAAUCAGUUUAGGUAAAGAAAAAUUUUAAAUAGCUUGCUUCACAAACGUUGAAAUAAUUUAAAAGAAAAAAAAACUUAGCUCAAUUAACUUGCUUCACAAAAUUGUUAAAAAUGAAAAAAAUUGUAUAAAAAAAAUAUUAUAAUCUAUCUCCUUGACCUCUAAAUAUUAGUAUUUAAAAUACUAAAAUACGAAUCUGAGAAUUAUUACCGAAUAGGUUUAAAACUUAUGACUCGAAGAAGAAUAAAAAUUAUUGGCAUGUGAAAGCUAAAUUUUAUCAUGCACAAGUUAAUCUUUGUGUUAAGACCCCAAGCACAUGCUUGGAUCUUGUUCCACCUCCAGCCAGGAGAAUAGUUGAGCAUGCUGAAUAAUUUGACUGUUCUAAAAAUUUAAGGUUUCUACUACCUUAUGAAAGGGGAUUGAUGCUUCCAAAAUUUGUCAUUUUCAUCUUGACUUAGGCAGCUGUUGUGUUCCUUUCAAUAUUUAAGGUACAUGUUAAAGUAAUAGGUUAAAAUGAUAAGUCAAAUAAGGAAAUAAAACUAUUUUUUUUAAAAAAAAAAUUAGAAGUGUUUCAUAUCUCAUAUUUGAAUUGGAAGUGAGCUAGUUAUCAAUCGUAAAUAAUACUCUAAAAUAUAAAGAUUGCUAGAUUACUUAUUAUUACAUAAUGUAGUAGAAUUGUGAAUAAAUAUCUGAGAAUCUGAGUGGAUGAUAAAUCCAAUUGUCCUAUAUAUGGGAGUGGAGUGAGUUGUUGUAGUGCUGUUUGAAUCUAAUCCACACCCAUCAAUCGGAACAAGUCCUGCACUUCCAGGGAACUUGGACCACACCAGUAAUGGUGCCAAAAGGUCACUUGCUUGAUGUGGCUACGGAACAAGGGUCGGCUAUGUGACCCUAGCCAACAUUGCCCUCAACUUUUCAUCCAAGUGUAAUUUAUAAAUUAAUUACUUCCUGAGCUAUGUCAACAGUGCCUAAUUCACUAGACAAACUAUUUUAUCUAAUCCUCAUCAAUUUUAAAAUUUGAUUUGGUUUUUUAUUCAAUUCGGUUCGAUUUGAUUUUUAAUUUUAAAAAUUUCGGUUAUUUCAGUUCGGUUCAGUUUUGAUCAGAAAAAAAUCGAAAAAAUCGAACCGAACCGAUUAGUGAUAAUAAUAUAUUAUUUUCAUUAAUAUAGCGAAAUGAAAUUAUAUUCAGAUUAAAAUAUUUUAAUUAAAUUUUAAAAUAUUAAAAAUAAAAUAUAAAAAAUAAAAAAAUUAUUAAAAAUCGAAAUUGAUCAAAUCGAAUUGAAUUGAACCGAAUCAAAUCGGUUCAGUUCGAUUCGAUUUUUAAUCAAAAUCGAUUUGAUUCGAUUUUCAUAAAUACUAAAAUUUUAAUUUUCGAUUUAUUCGGUUCGAUUCGAUUUUGAACCGAACCGACCGAAUGUUCAUCCCAAUAUAUAUAUAGUAGUUGUAUUUAAAUUUCUUACAUUAAAUAUUAUGAAACUAAAAGAUCAUAUGUUUAUUAGGGAUAAUAAUAAAACUAAUAAUAUUUUAUUCAAUAUGCAUAUUAAUUACUAUUAAAUUGAAAAGUCACUUUUUUUUUAAAAAAAAUAAGAAUUAUUUAUUAAUUAAUAGUAAUAAUAAGAUAUGGGUAAAAUAGACAAAUAGAAAAAAUAUAAUAAAAAGUCAUUUGUCAAUCACAAGAAAAUUUAUUUAUUUUAGAAUUUAGAUUUAUUAUAUAGAAAUUUUUAUUUAUGUCAAGUUGUAAAAAUUAAUUUAUAUAUUUUAUCAAUUAAAAUUUAAAAAGUAUAUUUCGUAAUGGACACUUCAUAGUAAUAAAAACUACUAUUAUUAUAAGGCCUAUUUAUUCUCUAACAUUAUUCCCUGUUCUCACAAAUUUUAUAAUAAGCCAUUAAAAUAUUAACAUUAUUUGAUUAGAUUUUAUAUGUUACGCAGGUGUAGGUGUGGCACAAAACCAAACCACAAGUGAGGAAGUGACCCUUUAAGAUCUUUUGUUGGGUACGCUGAAAUAAGACAUGCCUUACAUAAUUUAACGUUCAUAAACCGGUCAAGAUCGGACCAACAUAUCCAAAUCCGGAUGAACAAGAAGCUUACCUAAUCAUCCAGAUUUAGGCUCAUUACCCAAAUCCAAAUUGGACGGUUUCUAAUCAAAAGCAUGAUUUGAUAUAUACAUCAAACCCCAUUACUUUUCAAAACUCAAAUUGAAGCCGUGAAGAAUCAAAUCAAUCGAAAGGGUGGUGGACCAGAGCGAGAGUUGUCAUUUUAUAGACUAUUUUACGAGAGAGACACGCACCAAAACCGAGUGUUGGCCGUUGGUGAGAGAAAUUGGCUUUGCUGGAAAAAUUUUCAUGUGUUUCCAAAAGAAAUCAAGGAGGCCUAGCUAUAUUUAUGCAUCUGUAACUAUCAAUACUCAUGAUUCAAUUUAUCAUCCCUCUUUCUGAAUCCAAAUACUUUAAUGUGUUGUUUUAAUAAGGACUUCUGGUUAGAAAAUUAAGGCUUAAAGCCUCGUGCAUGUUUCCAGAUUUCGAGUACACAAGUGGAUGUAUAAAGCUUGGGAAUAGAUAUUUGAAAAGUACAAGGCAUAAGAAAUGGAUGCUUACACGUAAAAUUAGAGGGCAUAUACCCAAAC